CAGCAGCCACGGUAAUACGAAGGGGGCUAGCGUUGUUCGGAAUUACUGGGCGUAAAGGGCGCGUAGGCGGCCAUUCAAGUUAGAUGUGAAAGCCCUGGGCUCAACCUAGGAAUUGCAUUUGAUACUGUUUGGCUUGAGUUCGGUAGGGGCAGAGGGAAUUUCCGGUGGAGCGGUCAAAUGCGUUGAGAUCGGAAAGAACACCAACGGCGAAAGCACUCUGCUGGGCCGACACUGACACUGAGAGACGAAAGCUAGGGGAGCAAAUGGGAUUAGAUACCCGCGUAGUCCCUGUCUCUUAUAC
rnacentral:rRNA from 1 species